GAUGAACGCUAGCUACAGGCUUAACACAUGCAAGUCGAGGGGCAUCAGGAAGAAAGCUUGCUUUCUUUGCUGGCGACCGGCGCACGGGUGAGUAACACGUAUCCAACCUGCCCUUUACUCGGGGAUAGCCUUUCGAAAGAAAGAUUAAUACCCGAUAGCAUAAUGAUUCCGCAUGGUUUCAUUAUUAAAGGAUUCCGGUAAAGGAUGGGGAUGCGUUCCAUUAGGUUGUUGGUGAGGUAACGGCCCACCAAGCCUUCGAUGGAUAGGGGUUCUGAGAGGAAGGUCCCCCACAUUGGAACUGAGACACGGUCCAAACUCCUACGGGAGGCAGCAGUGAGGAAUAUUGGUCAAUGGGCGCUAGCCUGAACCAGCCAAGUAGCGUGAAGGAUGAAGGCUCUAUGGGUCGUAAACUUCUUUUAUAUAAGAAUAAAGUGCAGUAUGUAUACUGUUUUGUAUGUAUUAUAUGAAUAAGGAUCGGCUAACUCCGUGCCAGCAGCCGCGGUAAUACGGAGGAUCCGAGCGUUAUCCGGAUUUAUUGGGUUUAAAGGGAGCGUAGGUGGACUGGUAAGUCAGUUGUGAAAGUUUGCGGCUCAACCGUAAAAUUGCAGUUGAUACUGUCAGUCUUGAGUACAGUAGAGGUGGGCGGAAUUCGUGGUGUAGCGGUGAAAUGCUUAGAUAUCACGGAGAACUCCGAUUGCGAAGGCAGCUCACUGGACUGCAACUGACACUGAUGCUCGAAAGUGUGGGUAUCAAACAGGAUUAGAUACCCUGGUAGUCCACACAGUAAACGAUGAAUACUCGCUGUUUGCGAUAUACAGUAAGCGGCCAAGCGAAAGCAUUAAGUAUUCCACCUGGGGAGUACGCCGGCAACGGUGAAACUCAAAGGAAUUGACGGGGGCCCGCACAAGCGGAGGAACAUGUGGUUUAAUUCGAUGAUACGCGAGGAACCUUACCCGGGCUUAAAUUGCAGUGGAAUGAUGUGGAAACAUGUCAGUGAGCAAUCACCGCUGUGAAGGUGCUGCAUGGUUGUCGUCGGCUCGUGCCGUGAGGUGUCGGCUUAAGUGCCAUAACGAGCGCAACCCUUAUCUUUAGUUACUAACAGGUUAUGCUGAGGACUCUAGAGAGACUGCCGUCGUAAGAUGUGAGGAAGGUGGGGAUGACGUCAAAUCAGCACGGCCCUUACGUCCGGGGCUACACACGUGUUACAAUGGGGGGUACAGAAGGCAGCUAGCGGGUGACCGUAUGCUAAUCCCAAAAUCCUCUCUCAGUUCGGAUCGAAGUCUGCAACCCGACUUCGUGAAGCUGGAUUCGCUAGUAAUCGCGCAUCAGCCACGGCGCGGUGAAUACGUUCCCGGGCCUUGUACACACCGCCCGUCAAGCCAUGGGAGCCGGGGGUACCUGAAGUACGUAACCGCAAGGAUCGUCCUAGGGUAAAACUGG
rnacentral:rRNA from 1 species